rnacentral:rRNA from 1 species
GGGCCCGCACAAGCGGUGGAGCAUGUGGUUUAAUUCGAUGCAACGCGAAGAACCUUACCUGGUCUUGACAUACACAGAAUCUUGUAGAGAUACGAGAGUGCCUUCGGGAAUUGUGAUACAGGUGCUGCAUGGCUGUCGUCAGCUCGUGUCGUGAGAUGUUGGGUUAAGUCCCGCAACGAGCGCAACCCUUGUCCUUAGUUACCAGCGGGUUAAGCCGGGAACUCUAAGGAUACUGCCAGUGACAAACUGGAGGAAGGCGGGGACGACGUCAAGUCAUCAUGGCCCUUACGACCAGGGCUACACACGUGCUACAAUGGUAGGUACAGAGGGCAGCUACACAGCGAUGUGAUGCGAAUCCCUUAAAACCGUUCGUAGUCCGGAUUGGAGUCUGCAACUCGACUCCAUGAAGUCGGAAUCGCUAGUAAUCG